rnacentral:snRNA from 1 species
AGCUUUGCGCAGUGGCAGUAUCGUAGCCAAUGAGGUUAAUCCGAGGCGCGAUUAUUGCUGAUUGAAUAUAUUUUGCAUCC